rnacentral:lncRNA from 1 species
AAAACAGGAUUAUUAGUUGUACCAAUCUGCAACCAUUCUAACUUAUAAGGACUCUUUCAAGCUACAUUAAACACUUUACACAAUACUAUUAACACAACGAUAUUUCUACAUUUUAUCUCCAUAAGAAAACACUAACACUGUGAGAAAACUGCUCCACUUUCGAAGGAAAACACAACAUCCACCAAAAGGAUGUUAAAUGUAUGGGGGGAGGCAGAGGUCGAAUGAAAAAAUACUACGCGAUAUUAGGCAGAGGUCGAAACAAAACAAUGAUGAGGCUUACCUUCGUUGAAGAACUUGCCAUUUCCAAANCAAGGGCACAACCACACCAAGAUCUAACAAAGGAGACACCAACACCAAGGGCAACCACAACACGGCCAACACGGCAGGGACGUCGAACAAGGGAACCAAGAUGAUACCGUCGACGGUGGGCAAGAACGACGGCCAAGAACGACGACCACAAACCAAUCGGAAAGACCCAACCACACUAAAAUGCACAAAUGAGAAGAAUGAAAACGGUUCUCUCAAAUUAAAAUUGGCAAAGGGCAAAACCGGAAAUCAGAUUUUCAAAUCUGAUCCUAAAUUUUGAAGUAAUUUUGUAUUUUUUUUGAAAAGAAAAAUAUCAACCAAUCGGGUGGUGCCACGUCAUAGUGUUAAAUUGGUGUUAAAAGCAAUGGUGUCAAAAUAUCGGGACGCUUUUAAAAACGGCAAAAAACAAAAAGUAAAAAGGGAGAAACCAAUCCCGAGCUUCAUCUUGGUUGGUGAGGGACUACGAGAGAGAUUGAGAAGAAAAGGGGGAGCAACACAACCGUGAGAAACCUAAAAGCGUAAGCAAGCCUCUGGAAAAGUCAAGGGGAGUAAUAUAGAAUUAUUGUUGCAUAUGAAGGUUUGCUAUUUAUAUAUAUGUAUACGUACUCUGUCUGGGUAGUUUUCGCUUUGUGAAAUAUCUUUUUACAUGGCAUGGGGAUUGGUUUCAAGGAGUGAAACCCUCGGGUUGCUUGUAGAGCACGCUGAGAGUGUGCGUGUGUAAACUUGUGGAAUAUAUUAUGUUGGUUGUUUGCUGUGUUAAAUUUUGCGAAGAUAAAAUUGAGGGUGUGAUAGUGAGGAGUUGUGAUACUAGGAUGAAGGGUAUAAGUGGAUGAUGUGUGAGUGUGAGAGAAUGAAAGGAUAAAUGAAUGGCGCGAGUUCUAUGUAGAGAGUUAUCAGUGAGAGAAUGUUCUUCUAAAAAUAUUUAAAGUACAAGGUUUAUAAUUACAGAGUGGGGCCUUUUCUCUUAAGAUGAAU